rnacentral:rRNA from 1 species
GUGCCAGCCGCCGCGGUAAUACGGAGGAUCCAAGCGUUAUCCGGAAUCAUUGGGUUUAAAGGGUCCGUAGGUGGAUAAUUAAGUCAGAGGUGAAAUCUUGCAGCUCAACUGUAAAAUUGCCUUUGAUACUGGUUAUCUUGAGUUAUUAUGAAGUAGUUAGAAUAUGUAGUGUAGCGGUGAAAUGCAUAGAUAUUACAUAGAAUACCAAUUGCGAAGGCAGAUUACUAAUAAUCAACUGACACUGAUGGGCGAAAGCGUGGGUAGCGAACAGGAUUAGAUACCCUGGUAGUCCACGCCGUAAACGAUGGUUACUAGCUGUUUGGACCUUGUGUCUGAGUGGCUAAGCGAAAGUGAUAAGUAACCCACCUGGGGAGUACGUUCGCAAGAAUGAAACUCAAAGGAAUUGACGGGGGCCCGCACAAGCGGUGGAGCAUGUGGUUUAAUUCGAUGAUACGCGAGGAACCUUACCAGGGCUUAAAUGUAAGUUGCAUUAGUUAGAGAUAGCUAUUUCUUCGGACCACUUACAAGGUGCUGCAUGGUUGUCGUCAGCUCGUGCCGUGAGGUGUCAGGUUAAGUCCUAUAACGAGCGCAACCCCUGUUGUUAGUUGCCAGCGAGUCAUGUCGGGAACUCUAACAAGACUGCCGGUGCAAACCGUGAGGAAGGUGGGGAUGACGUCAAAUCAUCACGGCCCUUACGUCCUGGGCUACACACGUGCUACAAUGGUCGGUA